rnacentral:misc_RNA from 1 species
UUUCCGUAGGUGAACCUGCGGAAGGAUCAUUAAUGAGUUGUCAUGGGGUUCGAUGCUGUCAGCCAAUUUUUGGAUGCAUGUGCUUGCCCUAACAAUCAUCUUCCAAACACCUGUGCACAUCUUUGAGGGAGUCUUGAGUUGGUUGCCGCUCUUGGGUGAUUUUCUCACAUUCCCUUAAAUCAUUAUACGCUAUUAACAAUGUAGAACGUGCUCUGUGCUGCAAGGCUAAUAAUAUAAUACAACUUUUAACAACGGAUCUCUUGGCUCUC